UUACAUCUCUCUAUGUAGUCAUGUAGCAAAUUACAAUGAAGACAUGGGAAGAUGUAAAC
rnacentral:pre_miRNA from 1 species